AACGUAGGAGGCGAGCGUUAUCCGGAGUUACUGGGCGUAAAGAGCGUGUAGGCGGGUAGGCAAGUUUGGCGGUGAAAGCUCCCGGCUAAACUGGGAGAGUGCGCUGAAGACUGCGUAGUCUAGAGGCGAGUAGAGGGACGUGGAAUUCCGGGUGUAGUGGUGAAAUGCGUAGAGAUCCGGAGGAACACCAGUGGCGAAGGCGACGUCCUGGGCUUGACCUGACGCUGAGACGCGACAGCACGGGAGCGAACGGG
rnacentral:rRNA from 1 species